rnacentral:snRNA from 1 species
GCUCGCUUCGGCAGCACAUACUAAAAUUGGAACGACACAGAGAAGAUUAGCGUGGCCCCUGCACAAGGAUGACACACAAAUUCAUGAAGCGUUCCAUAUUUAA